rnacentral:rRNA from 1 species
GGGGGGGGGGGGGGGGGGGGGGGGGGGGGGGGGGGGGGGGGAGGCGGGCGGGGGGAGGGGCGGGCGGGUGCGGAACACGUGGGAACGGGCCGUUAGGGGCGGGCUAACUCAUGGAGACGGGUGCUAACACCGACUGGCCCCUGCGGGGGCAAGGUUAAUCGCCUUUAAAGCGGCCCGCGUCUGAUUAGCUAGGUGGUUGAGGUAAUGGCUCACCAAGGCGACGAUCAGUAGCUGGUCUGAGAGGAUGCUCAGCCACAUUGGGACUGAGACACGGCCCAAACUCCUACGGGAGGCAGCAGUGGGGAAUCUUGCGCAAUGGGCGAAAGCCUGACGCAGCCAUGCCGCGUGAAUGAUGAAGGUCUUAGGAUUGUAAAAUUCUUUCACCGGGGACGAUAAUGACGGUACCCGGAGAAGAAGCCCCGGCUAACUUCGUG